GGGGCCGCCCGGUUUUGACAGCAUAGAUCUUUGAGAGUGUAAGCAUGUCGUGCGUUGUGUAAUUAGCACGUAAAUCUGAAUACACAAACUUCAAAAGGCGAGUCUAACUACGCUAUGGCUGCUUAAUCAUAGAUUAAGCCCCAUUAUGGCCGCUUGAGUUGCUGUCUGCUGUGACUCAUUCCGCUGAAUCAAACCAAUAGCAGAAUAGGUAUUCAUGGUUUCCGUGAGUGAAUACUGAAACAACAACGGAUAAGGACUAGGUUGGUUAGUUACGCCCCUUGCCAUGUCUCGAAAACACAAUGCGUAAAUAAGCAUGUAGAAAGCUUUCGGCGGAUAUGUUUGGACGAGGGUUCGACUCCCUCCGGCUCCACCC
rnacentral:tmRNA from 1 species